rnacentral:rRNA from 1 species
AACGAACGCUGGCGGCAGGCCUAACACAUGCAAGUCGAGCGCCCCGCAAGGGGAGCGGCGGCCGGGUGAGUAACGCGUGGGAAUAUGCCCUUUGCUACGGAAUAGUCUCGGGAAACUGGGGGUAAUACCGUAUACGCCCUUUGGGGGAAAGAUUUAUCGGCGAAGGAUUAGCCCGCGUUGGAUUAGGUAGUUGGUGGGGUAAUGGCCUACCAAGCCGACGAUCCAUAGCUGGUUUGAGAGGAUGAUCAGCCACACUGGGACUGAGACACGGCCCAGACUCCUACGGGAGGCAGCAGUGGGGAAUCUUAGACAAUGGGGGCAACCCUGAUCUAGCCAUGCCGCGUGAGUGAUGAAGGCCUUAGGGUUGUAAAGCUCUUUCAGCUGGGAAGAUAAGGACGGUACCAGCAGAAGAAGCCCCGGCUAACUCCUG